GCUACCAUGACUUUCAUCCCCGUCUUCAUCUGGACACUGAUCCUCUGGACUCAAGAAUGCAGAGGUCAAGCCACAGUAACUCAGACUCCUGCAGUGAAAUCUGCUCUUCCAGGAGAAACAGUCACCAUCAACUGUAGAACCAGUCAGGCAGUGUAUCACAGCAGCUCAUAUGGUCACUACUUAUACUGGUAUCAGCAGAAACCUGGAGAAGCUCCUAAACUCCUGAUUAAGUUUGCAAAUCAGCGAGAGUCAGGUAUUCCAGCUCGUUUCAGUGGCAGUGGAUCUGGAUCUGAUUUCACUCUGACCAUCAGUGGAGUCCAGACUGAAGAUGCAGGAGAUUACUACUGUCAGAGUGCACACAGUGGUGGUGUGUUCACACAGUGUUACACUCUGGUCCUGAUCUGGACUCUGACUCAGUCACUGGUGUAA